AUGGAAGCUUUACCAGUAAGAUUUGGUUUUGAUUCUGAUAAGGUUAUUCCCUUGCCUCUCAUCUUUAACAGGCAUACAUUCCCUCCACACAUGAUUUACAAUGUGGAUGAAACAGGCGUCUUUACAGUACAAAAGCCACAGCAGGUUGUGACAGAGAAAGGAAAAAAGCAAGUUGGUUCUGUCACAUCAGCUGAGAGAGGAGAACUGGUGACUGUGGUGUGUGCAGUGAAUGCUGCUGGGAAUGCCACACCUCCCAUGUUUAUCUUCCCCAGAGUUAAGUUUAAGGACUUCAUGUCAGCAGUGACACCACGCAACAUCACUUCUGGAUUUAGGUCCACUGGGAUUUUCCCAUACAACCGAGACACUUUCCCUGAUAAAGCGUUUGCACCAUCUAUGGUGUCAGACCGGCCAAACCCUGAGCUGCAGCCUGCGAGUGCAAAUGAUCCCGAUGGUCCAUCCCCUGCAGAUGAUCCACCUGCAGAUGAACCACCCGCUGCAGAUAAUUCACUCACUGAUGCUAAUCCAUCCACUGCGCAUGGUCCACAUGGAUGUACCUCACCAGCUGACUCAGAUGUGCCGUGUGUUCCCAGCCAACCUGGAUAUGUGUCUCCUCGUGAAAUUCUACCACUUCCCAAAUGUCCCCCCAGAACACAAACCAAACGAAAGCGUGUGAAGACAGCCAUCCUAACUGAUACUCCUGAGAAGCAGGCGAUUGAAAAGGCUUAUAAAGAAAGACAAAAGAAACUGGCAGGGAAAAAGCAAAAUAGUAAAGAAAAGGGAAAACCGAAAAAGAAAGCAACCAAAAAGAAAAUCAUAGUUAACAGCUCUGAGGAGAGUGAUGUCCCUGUCCCAAUUGAUAAUGUGUCUGAUGAAGAGAGCUCUGAGGAUGAGAGAAGUGAUCCAGGAAACACAGAUCUGUCCGUGGGUGACUUUGUCAUAGUUAACUUUGCAACCAAACUCAGGAGCGUCCGUUACAUUGGCAUGGUUGAGAAAGUUGAGGAUGACG
rnacentral:lncRNA from 1 species